GAGUAAUGUCUGGGAAACUGCCUGAUGGAGGGGGAUAACUACUGGAAACGGUGGCUAAUACCGCAUAACGUCGCAAGACCAAAGAGGGGGACCUUCGGGCCUCUUGCCAUCAGAUGUGCCCAGAUGGGAUUAGCUUGUUGGUGAGGUAACGGCUCACCAAGGCGACGAUCCCUAGCUGGUCUGAGAGGAUGACCAGCCACACUGGAACUGAGACACGGUCCAGACUCCUACGGGAGGCAGCAGUGGGGAAUAUUGCACAAUGGGCGCAAGCCUGAUGCAGCCAUGCCGCGUGUAUGAAGAAGGCCUUCGGGUUGUAAAGUACUUUCAGCGGGGAGGAAGGUGUUGUGGUUAAUAACCGCAGCAAUUGACGUUACCCGCAGAAGAAGCACCGGCUAACUCCGUGCCAGCAGCCGCGGUAAUACGGAGGGUGCAAGCGUUAAUCGGAAUUACUGGGCGUAAAGCGCACGCAGGCGGUCUGUCAAGUCGGAUGUGAAAUCCCCGGGCUCAACCUGGGAACUGCAUUCGAAACUGGCAGGCUUGAGUCUUGUAGAGGGGGGUAGAAUUCCAGGUGUAGCGGUGAAAUGCGUAGAGAUCUGGAGGAAUACCGGUGGCGAAGGCGGCCCCCUGGACAAAGACUGACGCUCAGGUGCGAAAGCGUGGGGAGCAAACAGGAUUAGAUACCCUGGUAGUCCACGCCGUAAACGAUGUCUACUUGGAGGUUGUGCCCUUGAGGCGUGGCUUCCGGAGCUAACGCGUUAAGUAGACCGCCUGGGGAGUACGGCCGCAAGGUUAAAACUCAAAUGAAUUGACGGGGGCCCGCACAAGCGGUGGAGCAUGUGGUUUAAUUCGAUGCAACGCGAAGAACCUUACCUGGUCUUGACAUCCACAGAAGAAUCCAGAGAUGGAUUUGUGCCUUCGGGAACUGUGAGACAGGUGCUGCAUGGCUGUCGUCAGCUCGUGUUGUGAAAUGUUGGGUUAAGUCCCGCAACGAGCGCAACCCUUAU
rnacentral:rRNA from 3 species